CAACGUUUAACUAAAAAAGGUGUUGUCUCUUAUUUAUUAAAAAAUUCCUAGAAAACUUUUCGUCCAGCCCUCCGCCGUAACCCUUCACUCCAAGCCCUCUCCCCUCGCUCUCAACCACCUCAACUCCGAACAACAACAAUAAGCUGACGAGGAUCAUCAACUUCACCCCAACCCCUUCGUAUAUAUUGGGACCAUGUUAAUGAUUUGGUGUUUGAAUGAACGAGCUGAGUUACUACCUCCAAGGAUGGGAAACCUGCAAUUUGGGAGUUAUAUUAUACUAAAUCUGAUAAGGAUUUGUCUCUUUAAUUUAAUUCCUUCAAAUGCCUUAAUUCUUAUUUUACAUUGAUUGACUAAGUAGAUUCAUGUGGUUAUGCACAAUUUUUUAUAGGCUUAUUUGAUUACAUAUUCCUAAUUAAAUUCCUAAUUAACGUCCUAAUUAAAUUCAUUUCCUGUUACUGGCAACACAUGGCUGCAUGACUUGUUAAGCUAUAUUUCAAUAUGGUUUUCAUUUAUUUUUCUAAUUAAGAGAAAAUCUAGUUAUAUUUUUAAUUUUAUUUUGUUUAAUUUUUUAUUUACUUUAUUAUGGGUAUACAAGAAAGUUCUUGUUUAUAUUGUGCAGUGGGUAUGCAUGAAUUUGAGUUUGUAAUUUUGUGAGAAUGUUACAUUGAAAAACAAUUUGGAUCUAAUUCUAUCAUGUGUUGAAUUCUGAAUGCUUUAAAUAAAAAGGUUGGAGUUAAAGAAAUCAAAGUUACGGUUGAACCAACCAGUGGUUUUGUUGUCUUGGCUAAAAGUUUUGAGAAUGGGGAACAAUCUCUUAGUCUUUGUUUCAAGUGAGAAUUCAUUCAUUUGAACUGUUAUACUGGCAUUUUCCUUUUUGUGAAUGUGUUUUCAUUUUUCUCUUCAAACAUUUUCCCUCAUUUCAUUUUCUUCAAACAAUUUUUCUUUAUCAGUUAUCAGAUGUGCUCAUUGCCAACUUUAUUUAUGUUUCAGUGGAACCCAAAAGAUAAAUUGCUCCGAGGAAAUCAAAAUUUAGGGAGUGAUCGAGCCUUGCACUUCCUUGGAAAAGGCGAGGGAAAGACAAUAGCAUGGAAGAUGUGUGGCCUUGAUAAGAGCACAUGUUUGAUUGUGAUGUUUGAUCUUUCAUCAAGUGAGCGGACAAACACCCCAGGUGCUGUCAACCCGCAAUUGUACCUACAAUUUCUUACAAGAUAGUAGGACCCAAGUGGUGAAUUAGUGCUCUGUGUGACGACAGUGACUAGAAGAUGGGUAGAUAGUAUUGUUAGCUCUAAGAUAGAGAGCGUUUAUUUGGAAAAGUGUUGUCUAGUGAUGGGCAGAUAGAGAGCGCUUAUUUGAAGAAGUGUUGUUUAGUGAUGUGCAGAUAGAGAGCAUUUAUUUGGAAAAGUGAUAUGUAUUGAAUGUCAUUAGAUAGCGCUUUAUUGUCAGCGCUAUCUAUUAAUAGACAUCGCUCCAAUAGAAAGCGCCUAAAAAGCGUAGUCUAUGAACAAAAAAAGCGCUGUCUAUAGACAUUUUUGGUGUAGUGAAUGGUUGCAAUCCGUCGAUAACAUUUCUUGGCAACAGUACCCCACCUUGAUAUGUAACAAUAAAU